rnacentral:rRNA from 1 species
GGACGAACGCUGGCGGCGUGCUUAACACAUGCAAGUCGAACGGAAAGGCCUUUUCGGAGGUCCUCGAGUGGCGAACGGGUGAGUAACACGUGGGUGAUCUGCCCUGCACUCUGGGAUAAGCCUGGGAAACUGGGUCUAAUACCGGAUAGGACCGCACUUUAGUGUGUGUGGUGGAAAGUUUUUUCGGUGUAGGAUGAGCCCGCGGCCUAUCAGCUUGUUGGUGGGGUAAUGGCCUACCAAGGCGGCGACGGGUAGCCGGACUGAGAGGUUGGUCGGCCACAUUGGGACUGAGAUACGGCCCAGACUCCUACGGGAGGCAGCAGUGGGGAAUAUUGCACAAUGGGCGCAAGCCUGAUGCAGCGACGCCGCGUGGGGGAUGACGGCCUUCGGGUUGUAAACUCCUUUCGCCAGGGACGAAGCGUUUUGUGACGGUACCUGGAGAAGAAGCACCGGCUAACUACGUG